CCUACGGGUGGCAGCAGUGGGGAAUAUUGCACAAUGGGGGAAACCCUGAUGCAGCGACGCCGCGUGGGUGAUGAAGUUCUUCGGCAUGUAAAGCUCUAUCAGCAGGGAAGAAAAUGACCUUUGCUGACCAAGAAUCACCUGCUAAUUACGUGCCAGCAGCCGCGGUAAUACGUAGGGGGCAAGCGUUAUCCGGAUUUACUGGGUGGAAAGGGAGCGUAGGCGGCAUGGCAAGCCUGGGGUGAAAUCCCCGGGCUCAACCAGGGGACUGCCUUUGAAACUGUCAGGCUGGAGUGCCGGAGAGGAAGGCGGAAUUCCUGGUGUAGCGGUGAAAUGCGUAGAUAUUAGGAGGAACACCAGUGGCGAAGGCGGCUUGCUGGCACGUAACUGACGCUGAGGCGCGAAAGCGUGGGGAGCAAACAGGAUUAGAUACCCGUGUAGUC
rnacentral:rRNA from 1 species